rnacentral:rRNA from 1 species
UACAGAGGUCUCAAGCGUUGUUCGGAAUUACUGGGCGUAAAGGGUGCGCAGGCCGCGCGGGCAGUCAAAUGUGUAAUCCAGGGGCUCAACCCCUGAACUGCGCUUGAUACUUCCGCGCUCGAGCUUUGGAGAGGAGUCUGGAAUUCUCGGUGUAGCAGUGAAAUGCGUGGAUAUUAGGAAGAACACCAGUGGCGAAGGCGGCUCUCUGGAUCGAUACUGACGCUGAGGCGCGAAAGCGUGGGGAGCAAACAGG